CAAGAAGCGCCGAAAGGCUGCUUAUAACCAUCGCGAACCUAUCCAUCGGCGUUGCUUCGGCGGGAGCGCUCGCGGGCCCGGUCUCCGGGCCCCGGGCCGUGGCCCCACCCCUCCGGGGUGUGGGGCCGCCCGCCGGAGGUACGAAACUCUUCUGCAUCUCUGUGACAUCUCUGAGUAAACAAGCAAAUAAGUUA
rnacentral:misc_RNA from 1 species